GGGGGCUCGGCGCGGGGGCCGGAGUCACGAGGCCGCCCGCAGAGACGUCGCGUGCGGGCCUGGCGACAGCCCAGCAGGUGGUGUGACCUUACUCAGCGAGGCCUGGGCUCCUUGGCUUCGUCGAGCGCGGCCACGGAGAUGGCACCGCGUAGUAUACCGGGGCCCCACCCUUGCGAGCGGGCUGCCCGUAGAUCCACUUUCCCAAUUUGACGCCGCUGUCCGCUCAUUCUUGGAGAGAACAGCUUUGGACAGAAACCCCAAAAGGCAGGAGCAAAUUUGUUUGAAAAUCUUGGCUGUGGCGUGCAAACAAGUUCAGAGGGAUUUUUGAGGCACAGCUACAGACUGAGCUGGUUUACUGCACAUUAUAAAUGGAAACUUUUUUUUUCCUCCGUGUUUUUAAGAAAUCCUGUUGCAAGGUCAUUAAUCACAUUAUCCAUUAUACCAGAAACAAAUGGAUUUGUCACUUGUGCACAGAAGCUGAGGUUGAUGCUGAAAACAAAUUGUAUCAAAAUAAAUGAAAUUAUUAUGAUAAUAUAAAACAGACCGCAGUGAUUAAUCUCCAGAAACCAAAUUUUGACCUGCUUUGCACUUCAAACAAUAGCUUCUGUUAUGUAAAUAGUCGUGGGGUUUUCAAGGACAAUGUUACUAAAUUACGAGGAAAGUUCUAUUCGUGGAAAUCUCUUCAUGGAUAAACAUUAGAGCCAGCAAAUCUGUUCUCCACAACACCCAAAGCAGAGGACAAUGGAAGUGAUGAUGGCUCAGGAAUCACUUUGACUCCCUGACUGCUUAGUUGGCUUUCUUUGAGAUUCCCUCCAGAUCUCUGGCCUUCCUGCUCCCGCCCCGGGUUCCUGCAUCCAGAAUGGCACCAAGCUCUUCUGUAAAGCUUUGGAACCACCUUAAUAUUUCAAACAGAAAGAAAGAAUUUAAAAAGGAAGAAAGCAAGGAAGGAAGGAAGAAAAUCCGCAAGGAUGGGGGAGGAAUUUCAAAACUGAACACAAACAAAAACAAACUGAACCAUAAUUCAAAUGAAUAACGUGACCACACUGAAAUGGAGGAAAAAGAACUAACCCAAUUAACUUUUGAACACAGUAUUUGGACUCAAUACUCUUGGGCUAAAAACAAAAACAAAA